rnacentral:antisense_RNA from 1 species
UAAAAUGAAGCUGCACCCCUCCUAUACCUGCCGGAAACUACAUCUCUCUGCACACACCCUGGGGUAAUACGCACUGCACCCAGCGAGUUACCUGGAAUACGUUUACUAAAUCGACAGGAAGAAGGAAAGAUCAAUGCGAUUCAAGUGCUGACGGUUGUACUUGUGAAGGAAAAAAACAAAUGCAAGCCGGGAAGUCCCCAGUGGUGCCUGCACCUAGGAGGCGACUGCAACGGAUGGAUGCGGGGGUGGAUAAUCAGCAACCCCCCAAGACUGUGCCUGCUGCACAACUACAGAACACAGUGGAAGACACGCUGAACUUUGAGCCAGAAGGUUGACUUUCUAGCUAUGGGGACUUGGCCAAACCUCCUCAGAGCUUCAGUUUUCUCAUCUGUAAAAUAGGGAUCUUAAUCCCUACCAAUCUCACAGGACUGCUGAGAGUAUCAGAUGAG